rnacentral:lncRNA from 1 species
GUCUUUUUGUGAAGACAUGCUGCUUCAUAAUUUUCGAUAACGUCACAUCAAACUUUCUGGUUUUGCAUGGGUCACCACCUGUUCUCACAUCUUCUGUGGUCAGUAUGUCCGUUCUGAGUUUAGUCGUUGACCAGCUAUCUGUCUUGCCUGCACAAAUAAUCUUUCUGGCUAGAUAUUGUCCUCACAGAACUCAGUCCAUCAGAGGAAUAUAAAGCUAUGGUAUUGGCAGGACUGCAACCAGAGAUGGUGUUGAAUAUUAGCGCCUGAGCACUAUACUUCUGAACAUAUUAGGUAUAUCAGGAGUCUCUCUAUCAAGAAUACACUUUCAACAAAGCUGAGGGCCAUCUGAAACAGAUGGAGAAGAUAUAUACUCAGCAAAUACAGAGCAAAGAUGUAGAAUUGACCUUUAUAAAAGGAGAGAUCACCUCCAUGAAGUAAGUGCUAAAAGAACACAAUAAAAAUGUUCACUGAUAUCUUUAAAAAAUGUAUGGAGUACAAUCAUAAGUAUCAAAAAGCUCCAAAGCCUCUGUGAUAGCCUGAGGCUAUGAAACAUUACUGUUGCUAACCAAGAACAUACCUUUGAACCAUCCAUAAUUGCACAGUCUGGUGUUUUUGGCUUUUCAUUAGGGAACAACGCCAAGUGUCUUUUGGACAGUGUACCAGUUUAAAAUUUGGGUGAUGGAGAUGGAGAUUUUCAGUUCAGACCUUUUUUUUCUGGAUUCUCACAAAACACCUGAACCAAGCAAUAGCUUUUUUCAGUUUUGCCUCUCCAAGUCAUGAAUUAGAGCAGCAGCAAGUUUCCAGCAGGGCGUGAAAGUGAAAACAAUUU